rnacentral:lncRNA from 1 species
UUCUCUUGCAGCGGCAGUGGGUUGAUACAAAUUGUACAUGCCUACCAAAUGAAGUUGUUGUAUUCCUCCUUAAUAUUGAUUUCUUUCAAGCUAAUUAAUUCGGGUUUAUCUCCUACCUUUAGCUAUUAAGACCUGCAUAUAUUUAUUUUUAGAUCCUCUUGAUAAGAUAGUAAGUUUAUCAAUCAAUAUGCAGAAGCCAUGAAGUGGAGUCACAUAACACGGACUGUUAACCUAGUACUAUGCUAACUGUCGAGGUAUGUUUGUCCCAAAAUUGUCUACAAAAUCUCUUACUAGGUUUAUUAAUCAAUUAUUCUUUUCAUAUUAGGUAUGUAUGUAUAUAUCGUUCUAGGUUUUUGUUCUUUAUGCAGGAGCAUGAUCCUUUAAUGAGUUGCUGAAAAAAAGACUAUCUGGAUGUAUAUUUAGCUGGUCAUUUCUAUAUUAAUAUGCUUAUUUAUGUUGGAUUUUUGAACAAAGUCUUGAGAAUAGACUCGUGGCAGUGAAUCUUCGGUUAGUGUUUAUGAAUUAUGUCGAAUCUUUGAAAAAAAGACCAGUUUGAGAAUAUUGUUGGGAUUUUGUGUUUGUUUUAUGGAGUAUUACAUGUUAGUAAUAACUAGUACGUUCAUCUGUGCGGUUCAUGACGAAUAUAGAUAUUAAAUAUGUUUAAAUAAAUAAAUAUAAAUAUUGAAUCGAAUCCAAAUAUAAACAAAUAUAAAAUAAUAUUUUAAUACAUAGAUAUAUAUUUUCAUACCCAAAGGCAAAUAAAAGGUAGUAAAUAAUUAAUGAAGAGAGAAAACAAUAAAAUAUUUUAAAUUUUAAAAAUUUCAUAGCUUAUUUGUUUUAAAUUCAUUUUGCUGAUAUUUAUCAUGUCAAAGAUAUUGUCACAAACUUAUUUAAUGCUUUCAGCCCGAUUAAUUACUUGCUCUUCGGCCUUCUUAUUAUGUUGUGGGCCAAAUUAAAAUAUAAUAAUAAUAAUAAUAAUAAUAAUAAUAAUAAUAAUAAUAAUAAAUUGGGUUUUGGUCCAUAUGCAGAAUUAAUUUAUAUGCACACAGAUUUUUUUUAUGUUUUUUAAAUAUUUUUAAUGCAUAAGUUACCCAUAUAAUUAUAAAAUACUCAACCCCAUAAAACAAUAUCAUAUCUUAUUUUCCUAGAUAUUUUGUAAUAUAUUAACAAGUGUUAAUAGGGGAAAGUACCCACCCCCAUAAUAUAUCUAUGAAAAAUACUCACCCCCCACUCGUCUAGGUGUCCGUCUCAUUUUACCCUCGGAUUUUGCAGGACAGCAGCCCCCGGAUCGUGCAGCUAGGCCGAAACCCUAACGGAUGUCCGUGCGGAGGCACACACGUCGGAGACAUUAGUGAGAUCUCGAGCCUGAAGGUAUUCGACUUAUUUCCCUUGAAUCAUAUGUUGGAUAUAUGACCUGAUUGCCCUUUUUCUUUCAUGAAAAAAAAAUAGUUUUCCUUGCCCGUAUUUAUAAUGAGAUUCACACAAUGUAGUUUGAUCAUUUUCAUUUUAUUUUGAUCAAUUUUCAGGUUUCUCAAAUUCGGACUAGAAAGGGAUUGACAAAAGUUUAUUACAACGUUGGAUAGUUUGUGUGAAUCCUAUGUCAAAUUGAAUUCAACCUUAAACUAGUUAUACAAGCACAAUAUAGUCGAACAUGUUAGAUUUUUUAUGAACUUGUUCGAGGUUUAUCUUUUUUUGAAAUUUGUGGUAGGCAUGAAUAUGUUUGGGGGAUAAAAUCAAACUCUAAUUAUUUAUUCCACGAAAUUGAUAUUUUUAACAAGUGAAUUCGAUA